rfam:Ovis aries breed Texel chromosome 1, whole genome shotgun sequence.
UCCCUGGUGGCUCAGACGGUAAAGCGUCUGCCUGCAAUGCAGGAGACCCGGGUUCGAUUCCUGGGUUGGGAA